GCCUACGGGGGGCAGCAGUCGAGAAUCAUUCACAAUGGGGGAAACCCUGAUGGUGCGACGCCGCGUGGGGGAAUGAAGGUCUUCGGAUUGUAAACCCCUGUCAUGUGGGAGCAAAUUAAAAAGAUAGUACCACAAGAGGAAGAGACGGCUAACUCUGUGCCAGCAGCCGCGGUAAUACAGAGGUCUCAAGCGUUGUUCGGAAUUACUGGGUGUAAAGGGAGCGUAGGCGGGAAGCCAAGUCAGCUGUGAAAACUACGGGCUUAACCUGUAGACUGCAGUUGAAACUGGCUUUCUUGAGUGAAGUA
rnacentral:rRNA from 1 species